rnacentral:rRNA from 1 species
ACCCGACCGCUAUCGGGGUGGGGCUAAGCCAUGGGAGUCGUACGCCCCGGUUACCGGGGCGUGGCGGACGGCUGAGUAACACGUGGCUAACCUACCCUCGGGACGGGGAUAGUCCCGGGAAACUGGGGCUAAUCCCCGAUAGGUGGAGCGGCCUUGAAGGGUCCUCCACCGAAAGGGUGUCGCGGGGAUGUCCGCGACGCCGCCCGAGGAUGGGGCCACGGCCCAUCAGGUAGUUGGCGGGGUAACGGCCCGCCAAGCCUAUAACGGGUAGGGGCCGUGAGAGCGGGAGCCCCCAGAUGGGCCCUGAGACAAGGGCCCAGGCCCUACGGGGCGCACCAGGCGCGAAAACUCC